rnacentral:lncRNA from 1 species
AUUGUAAAAUUGCUACAUGAGAAGACAAGUUGUUAGAUGAAAUUCAAAUAUUCUCUAUGUUUGUGUUGUGUAGGUCAAAAAAUAAUAAACAAAGAUGAUAUUGAUUGUGAUGACCAAGAGAUUCAUUUUAAGACACAUCAAUCUUCAUCAUCUUUAAAUAAAAAGGAUAAACAUUAUGGAUUUCCAUUAUCUCAAGCAAAAACAAAGAGUUCAAAAUAUUAGUGGUAAGAACUGUCAAAAACUUGUGAUAGCUAUGAUGAAGAGAUUUAUGACAAAUUCGCUCAUGGCCAAAUAUAAUAUGGCAGCUGGAAAAGGCAAAGGAUCUUUUUAGCCUAACUAAGCUAUACAACUUAAUAAAAG